UACGUAGGUGGCGAGCGUUGUCCGGAUUUACUGGGCGUAAAGGGAGCGUAGGCGGACUUUUAAGUGAGAUGUGAAAUAUCCGGGCUCAACUUGGGUGCUGCAUUUCAAACUGGAAGUCUAGAGUGCAGGAGAGGAGAAUGGAAUUCCUAGUGUAGCGGUGAAAUGCGUAGAGAUUAGGAAGAACACCAGUGGCGAAGGCGAUUCUCUGGACUGUAACUGACGCUGAGGCUCGAAAAGCGUGGGGAGGCAAACAGGAUUAGAUACCCG
rnacentral:rRNA from 1 species